rnacentral:rRNA from 1 species
AUGGACAUAUUAUCGCAUGAGCAUUUUGUGUUUUUAUCAGUCACACCGUGGGCCAUAUGGUCUUCACGUAGAAAGGCGAUCCAUGAAGGGAUCUUUCAGUCUCCACAAGCUACCCAACACUUCGUCUGUAACUUCAUCUCUGAGCUUGAAGUGAUUCAAGGGAGCGAGAGAAGAGUGGGCCACACGGUUAUUCCGCAUGAUACAACAAGGCCAAAGGCUCCUCCAUCGGGCUUUUUUAAAAUCCAUGUGGAUGCUGGCAUUAGAAAGCGAAGAGGAGGCAGUGCAGCGGCAGUUUGUCGGGAUGAGCAAGGUCGAUACCUAGGCAGCUCGGCACUGGUGGUGGCGGGAGUUGAUGACCCAGCUAUAAUGGAGAUGAUUGCAUGUAGAGAAGCACUGUCCCUGGCUGAAGAUCUGCAUGUGCAGCGGAUGGUUAUAUCUUCAGACUCCAAACAAACCGUACAAGACAUAGAAGCAGGUAGCAGGGGCAAGCAUGGUGUAGUAAUCCGCGAGAUUAAACUUAGAACUAUUCCUUUUCAAUGUAAAUUUAUUUUUGAAGGUCGUGUUGUCAACACUGAAGCACAUAGUUUAGCCAAGUAUUCAUUAUCGCUUGGUCCGGGGCGCCAUGUAUGGUUGGGCCAACCCCAUAACCAGAACCGCAUCCCACAUUUUGUGGCUUUUGAUGAAUAA